GGGUCUUUUUGAAAUUCAUUUACUUCAAAAAUAAAUGUUCAAUAGAGUAUUAUUUCGUUGGUAAAAAGUUUACAAAGUCAUUUGUUUAUGACUGCGACGUCAUAAAAUAAUUUGAUACGAACAACAAAUCCCAAAUAGCUAUAAAUUUCUCAAAAAUCAGCAAAACGUCUGGAAAUUUUAACACGUCUAGAAAAAGCUAAUGCUAUAAGUAUUCGGUAAAAAUUGUAGGUAUCUAUUUGAUUAUUUUCAUCAAAAAAGCAAAACCACUAUUUCGUAAUUAUUUCUGUUUUUCGACGUUUUUUCUCGGUUUUUCCCAAUUAUCGAAAACGAAAAGGAAACUAAAAAAACAGCCUCCUUCAAAAGCAUCGAUAGACGAAAUUCUCAACCCUGAAGUCCAUGAUCGGAUCUAUAAUUCUAACGAAAAAAGUUUU